rnacentral:rRNA from 1 species
CGGCAGCACGAGAGCUUGCUCUUGGUGGCGAGUGGCGGACGGGUGAGUAACGCGUAGGAAUCUACCCAGUAGCGGGGGAUAGCCCGGGGAAACUCGGAUUAAUACCGCAUACGCCCCACGGGGGAAAGGCCGGGAUCUUCGGACCGGUCACUAUUGGAGGAGCCUGCGUAGGAUUAGCUAGUUGGUGAGGUAAAGGCUCACCAAGGCGACGAUCCUUAGCUGUUCUGAGAGGAAGAUCAGCCACACUGGAACUGAGACACGGUCCAGACUCCUACGGGAGGCAGCAGUAGGGAAUAUUGCGCAAUGGGCGAAAGCCUGACGCAGCCAUGCCGCGUGUGUGAAGAAGGCCUUAGGGUUGUAAAGCACUUUCAGUAGGGAGGAAUUAGUGGAGUUAAUAGCUCUGCGAAAUGACGUUACCUACAGAAGAAGUACCGGCUAACUCCGUGCCAGCAGCCGCGGUAAUACGGAGGGUACAAACGUUAAUCGGAAUUACUGGGCGUAAAGCGCGCGUAGGUGGUUCGUUAAGUGGGAUGUGAAAGCCCUGGGCUUAACCUAGGAAUUGCAUUCCAAACUGACGAACUAGAGUACGAUAGAGGGGGGUAGAAUUCAGAGUGUAGCGGUGAAAUGCGUAGAUAUUCUGAGGA